rnacentral:rRNA from 1 species
AUUGAACGCUGGCGGCAGGCCUAACACAUGCAAGUCGAACGAGUGGCGGACGGGUGAGUAAUGUCUGGGACACUGCCUGAUGGUGGGGGAUAACUACUGGAAACGGUAGCUAAUACCUCAUUCCAUCGGAUGUGCCCAGAUUGGAUUAGCUAGUAGGUGGGGUAAAGGCUCACCUAGGCGACGAUCCCUAGCUGGUCUGUGAGGAGUACCAGGGACACGGGAAAUGAGAAACGGUCCAGACUCCUACGGGAGGCAGCAGGGGGGAAUAUUGCACAAUGGGCGAAAGUCUGAUGCAGGACUGGCGCGUGUGGGAAGAGGGCCUGAGGGUAGUAGAGCACUUACAGUGAGGAGGCGUUAGUCGCAGAAGAAGCCCCGGCUAAAUCCGUGCCAGCAGCCGCGGUAAUUC